rnacentral:rRNA from 1 species
AGUGAACGCUGGCGGUAGGCCUAACACAUGCAAGUCGAACGGCAGCACAGUAAGAGCUUGCUCUUACGAGUGGCGAGUGGCGGACGGGUGAGGAAUACAUCGGAAUCUACUUUUUCGUGGGGGAUAACGUAGGGAAACUUACGCUAAUACCGCAUACGACCUACGGGUGAAAGCAGGGGAUCUUCGGACCUUGCGCGAUUGAAUGAGCCGAUGUCGGAUUAGCUAGUUGGCGGGGUAAAGGCCCACCAAGGCGACGAUCCGUAGCUGGUCUGAGAGGAUGAUCAGCCACACUGGAACUGAGACACGGUCCAGACUCCUACGGGAGGCAGCAGUGGGGAAUAUUGGACAAUGGGCGCAAGCCUGAUCCAGCCAUACCGCGUGGGUGAAGAAGGCCUUCGGGUUGUAAAGCCCUUUUGUUGGGAAAGAAAAGCAGCAGGUUAAUACCCCGCUGUUCUGACGGUACCCAAAGAAUAAGCACCGGCUAACUUCGU